UUUUUGGAUCUAGAACUCUCAAUUCAAUGUAGUAUCCUUGUGUUUGUGUGGUUUUCUGAAGUCCUCACACUUGAGGCAAGCCAUUGGUGCUCUCAAUUCACCAUUUCAUGACCUUACAGUUGGAACACCAUGAUCUUCUUCCUCACGUUUCUCUCAAUAUAGGAAGAGUGAGGAAGAUCCAAUGGUACAGUGAUGAUCUCCAUCACACGAGCUUCAUUUUCAUGUCCUUGUUUUUAAUUUUUAUUAAACUUUUU
rnacentral:lncRNA from 1 species